rnacentral:rRNA from 1 species
GAUGAACGCUGACAGAAUGCUUAACACAUGCAAGUCGAUUUGAAGCAGCUUCGGCUGUGGAAAGUGGCGGACGGGUGAGUAACGCGUAAAGAACUUGCCCUUCAGACUGGGACAACCGUUGGAAACGACGGCUAAUACCGGAUAUUAUGAGAACCUCGCAUGGGGGACUCAUGAAAGCUAUAUGCGCUGAAGGAGAGCUUUGCGUUCCAUUAGCUAGUUGGUGGGGUAACGGCCCACCAAGGCGACGAUGGAUAGCCGGCCUGAGAGGGUGAACGGCCACAAGGGGACUGAGACACGGCCCUUACUCCUACGGGAGGCAGCAGUGGGGAAUAUUGGACAAUGGGCCACAAGCCUGAUCCAGCAAUUCUGUGUGCACGAUGAAGGUCUUCGGAUUGUAAAGUGCUUUCAGUUGGGAAGAAGAAAGUGACGGUACCAACAGAAGAAGCGACGGCUAAAUACGUGCCAGCAGCUGCAGUAACAC